GAAUUCCUGUGUUCAAGUCACUUGAUCGAAAAGACCUUAUUUAAUGAGUUUUAGAUAUUCAUGCAGAAAGAGGGCUGGGUUUUUUUGGUUUUAAAUUUUCUUUAACAGUCCUGAACACAGUGUAUGUUUGUUUUUCACAUGGCCUGGAAAAAAAUUUUUAACUUAGAUAUUACGUGAGAAUGCUACAAAAACUUUACCAUUACCUCAGUUUCUAUUAUUAGGUGAUUUUAAGUUUUUACAACUGCUUUUUUGGGCUUAUUUAUUGGCAAAGUAUUUCCCUUAUAUUUCUGUUUUAG
rnacentral:lncRNA from 1 species